AACGAACGCUGGCGGCAGGCUUAACACAUGCGAGUCGAGCGCCCCGCAAGGGGAGCGGCAGACGGGUGAGUAACACGUGGGAAUCUACCCAUCCCUGCGGAACAACUCCGGGAAACUGGAGCUAAUACCGCAUACGCCCUACGGGGGAAAGAUUUAUCGGGGAUGGAUGAGCCCGCGUUGGAUUAGCUAGUUGGUGGGGU
rnacentral:rRNA from 1 species